GGCCACCUUCGGGGGGCUUCACCAUAGGCAGAGUUUCUGCCGCUAAGCAAACGGAAGACAGAAA
ncrna:unclassified sequences L2-Alphaproteobacteria ribosomal protein leader